rnacentral:lncRNA from 1 species
UUGGGGGAGUCCAUCAGCUCCUCUCAAAGGAAGAACACAGUUACCCUUGGAAGCACCUUUUUUUUUUUUUUGACUCACAUCCACAAAUUCUGUGGUCAGCUUAAAGGCUGAUGUCUCAAAGCCCAGGUUUCGGGGUGAGCUGGAAAGGAUGAAGCCAAAGUCGAUGUGAAUGAUGUGACCUUCUGCGUCCAGAAGGAUGUUCCCAUUGUGCCUGCGGAAGAGGCGACAUGACUUUUUUGGAUAAGUUUUUAAAAAUGUAUUUUUCACCUUUUAAAACUCAGAACAUAACAAAUUCCACUUACUGGAAAUUCAUACUAUUAGAAAUCCCUGAAGUACAUUUAAUAAAAAGAGGAAGUAAUCGAGCAAGGAGAGCUGUGACUGUUUCUUCACCUGGUGGAUGGACACAGCGUUGACUACUGGUUCAAUCAUGCCACUGUCAGCUGAAAUCACAAGAAUCUUAUAUGGCUUGAUCCAAAGAGGCACUCGCUCCUGUUCCCAAAUGGACUGUGAAAAGACACAAAGGUAUUGAGAGUGGCUCAUUUUUCUUCAAAC